rnacentral:rRNA from 1 species
GAUGAACGCUGGCGGCGUGCCUAAUACAUGCAAGUCGAGCGAAUGGAUUAAGAACUUGCUCUUAUGAAGUUAGCGGCGGACGGGUGAGUAACACGUGGGUAACCUGCCCAUAAGACUGGGAUAACUCCGGGAAACCGGGGCUAAUACCGGAUAACAUUUUGAACCGCAUGGUUCGAAAUUGAAAGGCGUCUUCGGCUGCCACUUAUGGAUGGACCCGCGUCGCAUUAGCUAGUUGGUGAGGUAACGGCUCACCAAGGCAACGAUGCGUAGCCGACCUGAGAGGGUGAUCGGCCACACUGGGACUGAGACACGGCCCAGACUCCUACGGGAGGCAGCAGUAGGGAAUCUUCCGCAAUGGACGAAAGUCUGACGGAGCAACGCCGCGUGAGUGAUGAAGGCUUUCGGGUCGUAAAACUCUGUUGUUAGGGAAGAACAAGUGCUAGUUGAAUAAGCUGGCACCUUGACGGUACCUAACCAGAAAGCCACGGCUAACUACGUGCCAGCCGCCGCCGUAA